UGGGGGAAUAUUGCACAAUGGGCGAAAGCCUGAUGCAGCAACGCCGCGUGAGGGACGACGGCCUUCGGGUUGUAAACCUCUUUUAGCAAGGAAGAAGCGAAAGUGACGGUACUUGCAGAAAAAGCGCCGGCUAACUACGUGCCAGCAGCCGCGGUAAUACGUAGGGCGCAAGCGUUAUCCGGAAUUAUUGGGCGUAAAGAGCUCGUAGGCGGUUUGUCGCGUCUGCUGUGAAAACCCGAGGCUCAACCUCGGGCCUGCAGUGGGUACGGGCAGACUAGAGUGCGGUAGGGGAGAUUGGAACUCCUGGUGUAGCGGUGGAAUGCGCAGAUAUCAGGAAGAACACCGAUGGCGAAGGCAGAUCUCUGGGCCGUAACUGACGCUGAGGAGCGAAAGGGUGGGGAGCAAAACAGGCUUAGAUACCCUGGUAGUCCACCCCGUAAACGUUGGGAACUAGUUGUGGGGUCCAUUCCACGGAUUCCGUGACGCAGCUAACGCAUUAAGUUCCCCGCCUGGGGGAGUACGGCCGCAAGGCUAAAACUCAAA
rnacentral:rRNA from 1 species